AGCUCCUUGAUAUAAAUUGUAUAAGGAGUGAAGCCUGCCCAGUGAAAAUUUUCAACGGCUGCGGUAUUCUGACCGUACAAAGGUAGCAUAAUCAAUUGUUCUCUAAUUAAGGACUGGUAUGAAUGGCACAACGCAGGGUAGCUGUCUCUUAUCUAAAUAAAGUGAAUUUGGCUACGGAGUGCAGAAUCUCCGCUUUUAUAAAAGGACGAGAAGACCCUAGGAGCUUAAAGAUGUCUGUAACCUGGUUAAUUUACAGAUUAAUCUUUUUCAUUGGGGCGAUGUUAGAUCAAUAAAAGCAUCUAAAUAAAAUUAAUUAUAACAUAAGAACCAGUAUAGACUGAAUUAAGCUAAGCUACCCUAGGGAUAACAGCUCAAUUUUUCUCUUGAGACCUAAUUAGGAGAAUAGCUUGAGACCUCGAUGUUGGACUAAGAAAACGAAGAGGUGCAGCCGCCUCUCAGUGAGACG
rnacentral:rRNA from 1 species